AUCACUAAUCGAUUAGUUAGCGAUUGCUUCUGCUGAAUGCACCCAUUUAGUUAGGAGCGCCUAAAGAUCAUAGAGGUAUAUAUUAACAUAGAGGGAGCCUACCUUCCGCGCUUCCUGACGACAAGAUCUCAGGGACUGGUUUGCUGCAUCUACUUCUAACAGAGAAUAUGGUCGCGUUCACCAGAAUAAUCCGAGUGCAAUCCGAUUAAUUUGCGCUGAAACGCUGACAGUUUUUUUACUAGUGAACGACUGACGUUUGACCAUAGAAGAGUGGGUGGGGCGUUUGACAUUCGAUUGAGAGUGUUCUGUGUUCCAUUUGUUUAUGUUUUUAUUCUUUGUUUAUAUAAUUUAUAACCUAAACCUAGACAGUUUUGUUUUUAUUUUAAAUAAAACUGAAACUGUCUAAACUAAAAUGGAUAAUAUUCUUGAAGAACUUUUGUUUGGGGACGAAAUUAGCAAAUGCCGUUAUACAUUUAGCAGAUGUACCUACCUCAAAUUAUUCCAGAAGGAUGAGAUGAAAUUAAAUAUAUAUAAACCAUAAUUCAAUAUCCAAUUUAGAGAACAUUUUCGUAUGUCCAGAACUACUUUCCAGGAACUAUUUAAUUGUAUUGGUCAUAUCCACCAAUUUGAAAACAGAAUAAUUCUAUUGGAAAAAAUUAAUGUUUAUGAUGUGGAUGCUAAGUAAACCAGAUAAUUUGUUGCUGGGGAUACGUUUGGUUUGCCAAAGAGCUCUGGACAUAAGAUUUUCACCCAAAUAAUAUAGAAUUACAAAAAAUUGGAAAUAACUAAUCUUGAAUAUCAAUGUGCAUAUUGAGUUUAAUUUUAUUGUAAAUAUUCUAUAAUAUAAUUUUAUUGUAAAUAUUGUAUUAACACAUUUGUGGACACAUUUUCAUAUGCAGACAGUAAUUUCCCUUUGUAAGUACAUGCAUAUAUAGUCGUAUCUGCGAAUGGGUUAAUUGUAAAUCGUAAUCAAUAAAAAUUUUUUGUGAAUUAAUAAAAAACUGGUUUGUUUGAAAAUAAAUGUAGUACAAAUGUG
rnacentral:lncRNA from 1 species